rnacentral:tRNA from 1 species
GCUCUAGUAACUCAAUCGGAUGGAGCGUUGGACAUCUAAUCCAAAAGUUGCAGAUUCAAGUAUCGCCUAGAGUA